UCGAACGAAGCACUUAUCUUUGAUUCUUCGGAUGAAGAGGUUUGUGACUGAGUGGCGGACGGGUGAGUAACGCGUGGGUAACCUGCCUCAUACAGGGGGGAUAACAGUUAGAAAUGGCUGCUAAUACCGCAUAAGACCACAGAGCCGCAUGGCUCGGUGGGAAAAAACUCCGGUGGUAUGAGAUGGACCCGCGUCUGAUUAGGUAGUUGGUGGGGUAACGGCCUACCAAGCCAACGAUCAGUAGCCGACCUGAGAGGGUGACCGGCCACAUUGGGACUGAGACACGGCCCAAACUCCUACGGGAGGCAGCAGUGGGGAAUAUUGCACAAUGGGGGAAACCCUGAUGCAGCGACGCCGCGUGAGCGAAGAAGUAUUUCGGUAUGUAAAGCUCUAUCAGCAGGGAAGAAAAUGACGGUACCUGACUAAGAAGCACCGGCUAAAUACGUGCCAGCAGCCGCGGUAAUACGUAUGGUGCAAGCGUUAUCCGGAUUUACUGGGUGUAAAGGGAGCGUAGACGGCUGUGUAAGUCUGAAGUGAAAGCCCGGGGCUCAACCCCGGGACUGCUUUGGAAACUAUGCAGCUAGAGUGUCGGAGAGGUAAGUGGAAUUCCCAGUGUAGCGGUGAAAUGCGUAGAUAUUGGGAGGAACACCAGUGGC
rnacentral:rRNA from 1 species